UUUUAAGGCAAUUGAAAACGUCGAGGCUCAUUUCCGACCAUCGACGCUUGAAAAAGGACGCCAGCUUUACGACAACAAUCAUGUGUAUCGUGUCAGAGAGGUGAACCGCACGGACAUCUCGGCGAAGUGCUUGUCACAACAAAGCAAGCAGGCUUACGACGCCGAACUCCAAUCUUCGUUUACAGCUGUCGAUCGCGCCUCGAACUAUACUGAAGGGGACGUGUACGUGCCAUUACGGCGCCCUCGGUGACUGUAAACACUGCGCAGCGGUGGUAUUUUACAUCAAGCUGCACGAGGACGUGUCGUGUACGAGCGGUCCGCAGUCAUGGGGGAAACCAUCGACGAAGCCCGACCAUGACGACAAAGUGCCACUGAGAAAGCUGUUUGGAGGUGGCACAAGGAACGCAAAGUGCGCAUCAGCAGCACUGCAGCUCAUACAAUUUUGCGUACCCGCAGAGGCCCUAAAGAGAUUGUUCACAGCGUUUUCAAGUCCAGUUUUUUUUCGUCCGAGGCUACAACAUAUGGUACGUUAACAUUGUUGGAUCUAAUUAAGCAAUAUAAAUUACAUGUGUGUGUUCUAUAUUACGAAUACGUAUGGAGCCAGUGGCCAGGAAGGACUUUGAGCAGCAGCGUGGUGUCACGGUGACAGAGGUGGGCCUGUUAUUUCACCCGCAACAGCCAUGGCUUUGUGGAAGCCCUGAUGGAAUUUUUUCUCUCUCUGGCGAGACAUGCUUGCUAGAGAUAAAGUGCCCAUACAAAUGCAUUGACAGAGGGAUUUUUGACGAUUCAGGGCACAGCAUCCUUGACUAUGUGCAUCAUGUUGAUGGAAACCCCAUAGUAAGGAAGUCGCACAGAUACUAUACACAGGUCCAGAUUUUGAUGUACCCGCUUAAUGCAAAGCAGUGUUUCUUUUUUGUAUAUUCAAAGAUGCAGAGCAUGACCAUGGUUGUCGGUAGGGAUGAUGCUUUCCUUCAAGAGGCCAUUCCAACUCUUGAACAAUUUUAUUUUCAGUGGAUUUUGUGUGAACUUGUAAGGCAACAAAGUUAGUAGAAUGAAUGAUGCCUCACUCUAGAGUGCUACUUCUAUUUACUGAAUAGGGUUUUUCAACGCUUGGUAUACAAGCGUUGAAACACUUGCUAUUAUAUGUGCAAUUUUUUAUUUUUUCCGAGAGACAGAAAGUCUUCCCUCAUGUUAUUUACUUGUAAAUAUAGUGCACCGUAUGGCAUAAGCGUUUUGGUACUAUCAGUGAAUCAGACGCAUUACUUUGUGCUUAGCAGCAACACACCAUAACCACUGUGUUACUGCAAUUUGUGGGCAACUUAAGGACACACUCCAGCAAAACGCCACGGGUAGAGAGAUAUAAAUCUGAAUUUUCUGUACGCAUCUUGUCACGCAUGGCAAAUUGAUGUAUUUAUUAUUUAGGCAACCAACGAGACUAGUCAUAUUGUGCAAAAAGUGAUGUUUGUUUACUUGCUUCUGCCUGUCCUCAUAUUCAUUUCAUAGCAACGCAUUAUCUGUACUUCAUGUAAGCCUCCUGCGAUACAAGUCACCAGCGUCACGGAUGCGUGGUGCUGCAGUUUUUUUUUCUUCAGUGGUAUUAGUAUUACCGGAGUGAAUGCUCAUCUGAAUUUUCUGUAUGCAUCUUGUCACGCAUGGUAAAUUGGUGUAUUUAUUCUUUAGGCAACCAACCAGACUAGUCAUUGUGCAAAAAGUGACCUUUGUUUACUUGCUUCUGCCUGUCCUCAUAUUCAUUUCAUAGCAAAGCAUUAUCUGUACUUCAUUCAAGCCUCCUGCGAUACAAGUCACCAGGGUCACGGAUGCGUGGUGCUGCAGUUUUUUGUUUCUUCAGUGGUAUUAGUAUUACCGGAGUGAAUGCUCAUCUGAAUUUUCUGUAUGCAUCUUGUCACGCAUGGUAAAUUGGUGUAUUUAUUCUUUAGGCAAUCAACCAAACUAAUCUUUUAUUUUGCAAACAAUGAUGUUUUGUGAAGUGUAAUCAUGCAUACUGUGAUCUCUUAGCUUUUGCUUCUCACUUGUGUUUCCUAGUCAAGCUUUGUUAGUUACGCAAGCUAUAAGUGCUCAUGUACGUCUAAUAAGCAUUAGAAAAUUUAUGAGGGAAGUUUGUGCAUUGAAUUUUCUGAUCUCAGGCAACACCUUUUCCUUUUACAUGGUGAAAGAAAACUGCACCCACAUAUUCAUGCUUGUGAAAUGAAGUGGGAACAAUAAAUACUGAUUGUGAAAUGUCCACAUGUGUCAAAGUUUAUUGGCAGAUUAAAAGUGAGUACAACUUUCUGGUGUCUUAAAUCUGCAAACACCGGUGACAGGAUUCAAGCAAGACAGGUGCUCUUUGUCCGACUAGAGCAGUUGCUCAACAACAGUAUCGGCCAAUGUAAUUAGUUUUCACUGUCUAAAUGUACGCACCUUGAAUCAUGUACAGAGAAAAUCCGUGAAUAAUGUAUCAACUUAAAUUUGACAUGCGAACAGGAAAGAAACAGAUCAUAACGCCUGUUAUGUGUGCAAUGUGUGAGCAUACUCUAGCCAGUUUCCAUGCACAGAGGAGUGCCAAGUGUACGUCUUGGGAGUAAAUGAAUCUUAUUAAAAAGGUAGGUGAACCUGAAGACAAUGAGGCACUGCUGUUCUGAAAUUGUUUACAAUUUCUUCUGAUAGUGCAUAUAUAAUUUCUCAUUGCACAAAUGUAGUGCCCGAAUUCAGGUCAAAAUAAAUAAAACACAUGAUGAAAUAUACAUACAAUGUAAACAAAGCAAGCUAAUGAAAUUGAAGAGGAAUAACUAUAACAUCAAGAAUUGAGAACUAGUGGACACAACAAAUUCUGUUGUGAAACAAAAGCGAUGACAAACAAAUUGUUGCCUUACUGCAGACUGCACAUAUGACGAACACAAAUGUGUUCGGCGCAAACAUAGAAGCAAUAACAGUAGCGGAAUAAGUUCACAUAUUGUACAGUGCAUCCUAGCAUGGUAUUUUGCUGUACAAGUCGAACAAAUGAAAAAAAAACAUAAUAUCCUACGACGGUCACGUCAAGGCGCCACUUAUAUGCUAAUUAUAUUAAACCUUGUGGAGUAGCAACACACAACAGGAUUACUUCCACAGAUGUUGCAGCACUCAUUUCAAUAUUAACUGUGUCGAGUAGACAAGAUUUUCGCCAAGGGGUGCAGUGAAACGUUGCGCUAACCUAUGUAUUAGUGCCCCGUCAGUGCAUCAGAUGGAUAAGGAAUUUACAUUCCUCACCCUUGGCUGAAGUUUCUAGGCCUCCUCCACUGUCCCCCUCUCCCCGAAGGUUCUUUGAAAUGAUUUCUGUCGGCCCACUUGCACGUGGCCUCGUUGCUAUCCAUCACCUACACUUGCUGUCAUUAUUGAUGUAGUGAUGCAUGUCCCAUUGUUAGGCGAUUUUUAUAUGCAAAAGAAAUUGUAAACUUUUUUUUCAUGAUUCUCGAUGGCAGUGCAUAUGCAAUAACGUUCCUGGUGGUUUGUCUCUGAAAAUAUACUUAGUUGCAAGUGAGUGUCUUUCCUGUCCACGUCUCCUUUUUCCGCAACGCUUCUGCACUACCCUUUGCAAAAAUCAUGUCAAACCAACUAACCCAACAGCUUACUAUUAUAAAACAAAUAUAUAAGCCAUUUCUAGUGCAACACACAUACAAGGCUCUUUUUCUCCAUUUGUACUUGAAAAUAACUGCAUUUCGUCGGAGCAUGCACAGACGCAGCAGGAACAGUCUGCUGCUAGGCAUGAAGGUGUGGCUGCCAUUUACUAAUUUUUGUUUUGUGAACCUUCCCCCACCUUGUGGAUAUUGACAAAAAUGAUCUGUUAAAUGAGGCAGUUGCUACGCUAGAUGACUUGAUUCUCAGUGAUUUAACUGAACUUAAUUAUUGGAGGCUGAAGGUUCGCCAGCACACAGCACACGUGAAACACGUCUGUCAUGAGUGCUAUCAUUUCAAUUUGCACCCUGUUUAAGAUGUUAUGCACUUUAAUUCUCUGGAUCAUCCUCUCCACAUGAACUCGCACUUGUGCAAUGUUAUGUGUGUCCCUAACUUCUUGAGCACUGAACUGAGGGCCGUGUAAAAAUGGGGGCAUGACAAGUACAGCGUUUCGUUCACCAAUAACUGUACGUAUUCCAGGAAAUCCCUUGUCUGCAAGUAUUUUAUCACCAGACUCAAUGACAUCAGGGAAACCAGAAUCAGUGAUGAUACUGGCCUUGGCCAUUUCGGAGCAGUUUUCGGAGCAGGCAAAAAUGCUUUUCGGAGCAGUAAAACUGGCUUUCGGAGCAGGCAAAAACGCCUUUUGGAGCAGUAAAAUGGGCUUUCGGAGCAGUAAAAUGGGGCUUUCGGAGCAGGCAAAAUUGCUUUUCGGAGCAGUAAAACGAGCGUUCGAAGCGGGUGUCUGUUGAAACAAUUGCAAAACAUAUGUGCAGCUUUCACAGCAAGCAAUAGGAAAGCAAGAAAUGCCGAGU